UACGUAGGGGGCAAGCGUUGUCCGGAUUUAUUGGGCGUAAAGAGCGUGUAGGCGGCUAUACAGGUCCGUUGUGAAAACUGGAGGCUUAACCUCCAGACGUCGAUGGAAACCGUAUGGCUAGAGUCCGGAAGAGGAGAGUGGAAUUCCUGGUGUAGCGGUGAAAUGCGCAGAUAUCAGGAGGAACACCGGUGGCGAAGGCGGUUCUCUGGGCAUGUUCUGACGCUGAGGAGCGAAAGUGUGGGGAGCGAACAGG
rnacentral:rRNA from 1 species